GCCGAGGUCCUCUUCUAGGAUUGGUUGUCCACUCAUAACCAUAAGAUAAUUAAAACGGGGGGGGGCAGGGUAAAAAAAAAACCCUUUUAUCAGCCAUAGGUUAAUGCAAGUGUUUAACAGAUGCUUCGCUAUUAAAAUAUUUCCCCCCAAUACUGAAGAAUCUUAAACCAGGCUAGAGCGCCAGCGCUCCUCUGACCCGGCACACUUUGGCAAAGUUGCAGUGGCCUGUUUGCUUAGGCACUGAAGUGGAUGACCCAAGUUAGGAUGACAACUUGCAGAGAACGCGGAUGAGACCUUCAGUUUGUGCCCACACUCAUUUGCAGCAACCCUAACAGAGAUUGCGAAGAUUUUCAAAGUGGGGCACCUCGAUUUCUCGAAUCUGUGGUGUGGCGAAUAUCCGUGUUCCUCCUGCUUAACUAGCCUGUUUGAAGGCACAGUUCAUUCUCGAGCAAUUCGUCACCUCCUGGGGGUCUUCUCUUCCCGUCUACAGGAGAGUGUGACUUCAGAAAGAACUUCGGAUUGGCCAAGGUCUGAUUCUAUUUAUUCUAAAGACAGAGUUGGAGAUGGGCUACCAUUGGUGUUGAUUGAGAUGACAAGCAGUCACCUGAGCCCAUACAGCUGGGUUCACAGAUGUGGCUAGUCUUGCUAGCCAGCUCGCACUGUGGACAUUCUAGGGAACUGACUGCAGUCCUCAUGCUUGGAGUCAAACACUUUAACCACUGCACACGUUUAUGUAAUAGGAUUGACAUAUGAGAAUCAGAGAAAUGAAUGAAAGAUUAGAGUGGGAGAAAGUGCUUGCUGCCAAGCUUGAUGACCUAAAUUGAAUACCUGGAACCUACACGACAGAAAGAGAGAGCUGACUGCUGAAAGAUGUCCUCAGAUCUUCACAUGUGCACAGUGGCACCUAUCCAACCAUGCACAUAGUAUAUUAAAAAUUAUUUUUUAAAAAAUCCA
rnacentral:lncRNA from 1 species